UCUCAAGUUCCUUAAAAAUCCUUCACUGAGAAGAUGGUGAUUGGACUUUGUGUGCCAUGUCAUCAAUGUCUCUGCACAAUCAGGGCUUGAAAUACCCUAACUGCUCCUAUCCCAU
rnacentral:snoRNA from 1 species